GGCAUGGAUUAGGCAUGCAAGUCGAAUGAAUCCUGUAGCAAUACAGGGGAAAUGGCGAAAGGGGCAGUAAUACAUGGAUAACCUACCCUGGGGAUGGGCAUAGCCGGUCUAACGGCCGGGUAAUACCCAGAGAUUCGACGAUGUGGCAUCACAAUGUCGGGAAAUGAAUUUCGCCUCGGGAGGGGUCCAUGAGCUAUCAGCUAGUUGGUGGGGUAACGGCCCACCAAGGCGUAGACGGCUAGCGGGUGUGAGAGCACGACCCGCGCCACUGGCACUGAGACACUGGCCAGACACCUACGGGUGGCUGCAGUCGAGGAUCUUCGUCAAUGGGGGAAACCCUGAACGAGCGAUGCCGCGUGAGCGAUGAAGGCCUUCGGGUUGUAAAGCUCAAAAGAAGUGAGAAAGGGAAACUUGAUCAAACUUCAGUAAGCUCGGGCUAAGUUCGUGCCAGCAGCCGCGGUAAGACGAACCGAGCGAACGUUGUUCGGAAUCACUGGGCUUAAAGGGCGCGUAGGCGGAUAUUCAAGUCUGUGGUGAAAUCCUCCGGCUCAACCGGAGAACUGCCAUGGAUACUGGGUGUCUCGAGGGUGGUAGGGGUAUGCGGAACUAUCGGUGGAGCGGUGAAAUGCGUUGAUAUCGAUAGGAACUCCGGUGGCGAAGGCGGCAUACUGGACCACAUCUGACGCUGAGGCGCGAAAGCCAGGGGAGCGAACGGGAUUAGAUACCCCGGUAGUCCUGGCCCUAAACGAUGGGUACUAGCUAGUAGGGUUCACAUGACUUUACUGGCGAAGCAAAAGUGAUAAGUACCCCGCCUGGGGAGUAUGGUCGCAAGGCUGAAACUCAAAGGAAUUGACGGGGGCUCACACAGCGGUGG
rnacentral:rRNA from 1 species